CAGCCGCCGCGGUAAAACCAGCACCUCGAGUGGUCAGGAGGUUUAUUGGGCCUAAAGCAUCCGUAGCCGGUUGCAUAAGUUUUCGGUUAAAUCUAUGCGCUUAACGUAUAGGCCGCCGAAAAUACUGUGCAGCUAGGGAGUGGGAGAGGUACACGGUACUCGAUAGGAAGGGGUAAAAUCCUUUGAUCUAUUGAUGACCACCUGUGGCGAAGGCGGUGUACCAGAACACGUUCGACGGUGAGGGAUGAAAGCUGGGGGAGCAAACCGGAUUAGAUACCCCGGUAGUCCCUGUCUCUUAUAC
rnacentral:rRNA from 1 species